CUUCGAGUCCGCGCUGGCGAGCCUUCGGCCCCGCCUUCCCUGCGGCUUUCCGGAGUCCGCUUAAAGGAGCCGCGCAAAAGAGGGUUGGUGAGAGCUGAGAACCUUGUAGGAGGAGCGGGGUUUGGGGGCCUUGCGGAGGGCUGGGUGGGAGGUUGCCUAAGGCGAGAAACGAAAUGAGGAAGGUUCCGAAAAUUCUGGAGGAAUAAAAUUUUGGAGGGAAUGAAAUCAUUCAACAAGUGCUAAUUGAGCACCUAGAACAGCAAAAGGCCAGUAUGGCUGAAUGGAACCAGCUAGCCAGAGAGCGGCGGUAGUGAAGCUGAGAGGUGUGGAAGGACUAAAUCCUGUGGAGCCUCGUGGCCUGUCCUAAGAGCCACUGAAAGCCGUGGGAGGCAUCUUAAAAAAGCGUUUUGAAAUGAAGACUUCUGAGGCCAAGAAUAUGGACUUCCCGGAGGCGAUUUGCCUGCAUCAUUUCUAAGAAGGAUAUUCAGUAAUUCACCCCUUGCCUCAGCUGGGUGAAGGUCAAAGUGAGCAGAGAUCACACUUUUUAGGAACUUAAAGGGAAUCAGAAAGUUUGCCCUGAUCAACUCUUGAGUUCUGGUCUUUUUUUACAGGGACUGCGUUUGUUUUCUCUUUGGCUGCCAAGCGUCCCUAGCUUUAAGUCUCCCUACUUCCUCUGAGAUCAGGCUUUGCUCUUUCCAAGUCCUGGCAUCUGGUUGUGCACUUAUGCGGGAUAGGGGCAGGAGUGCUGCGGGAGAUGAAACCCAAGGCCGAGGCAGGCCCCCCUGCAGGGUCAACUGAAGCGGAACUUGGCUGCAGGCAUUAAAAAACCCAAAUCAACUUAAUUUGUUUUCCUCUGUUCUUCAGCUAGUCUCUACAAACUUCCUGGUUUUGUCCUAAAACGAGAACCAGACAACUUGUGAGCAAAUCCUGUCAUCCCCCUAAUCUGAGACAGCCUAUCUCAGAGGACAUUUUAUACAUUUUUUUUUUCUUUUUCCAAAAAGAUCCUUCUGGAGUCUCACAUUAGCAGUACUGCGUGCCUCUUGGCCCUUGUUCCUUGUGCACGUGGUUUUUCUUUCUGGCUUCUUGAGACAGUUUGAGAGUCUUCGAGAAGGAUUAUGGGCUGGCCAGCCAGAUCCCUGUGAAAUCAGACCAUUAGACAUGUUCCGAGGGCUCAGCCUCCUCUCCUUUUUUUCCACUUAGAUAAGUGUCAAAAAGUAGGAGUCAUGUCCUAACCAGGACACAUGCCCCUGUGGCAUCUUAGCGAAGCCCAUCCUGGUGGAGCAGCGUCUGCCAGCUUCGGCCAUCGGCCAUCGUGGUCACCCCCAUUCUGCUCGCCGCCUUAGCCUUGGGCCGGCAUCCAGCUCCACUCUUACACUUCAAGAUCAGGGCUUAGGAAAAUAAUGCAUUCUAAAAAAUCCCGACCGACCAAAAAGUACCAAGAAGUCAUUUGGGUUACACCCUGACUCUUGUCACCCAGAUACCACAUGACCAGAAAGGGAAUGUCCCUGGAGCAACAUCACUGUGUCCCUGAUUAGCAGCCUUGCAGCAACCUGAACAAAGAAUUCCAAGCCCCAGGACCCAGAACUUGUAAACAGAAGAGGAGAGCAGUCAGGUGACUUAUCCAGCUGAGUUAUACCAGACAGCCCAGUAUUAGCAGUUCCUGAGGGGCCUGCUCUGAGCCUGAGUCAGCCAGGGUGUGACAAGCCACAGGGCUGAUCUCACCUUUGCAAGCCAACCAAGUUCCCCGCCCCCUCCACCCACUCAGCGGCUGUCAGCCACCUCUGCCAACUUGUUCCUUUAGUUUCUAUUUUUCUCCCUCUCUUUCUCUGGGCAGCCACCCCCUCUGCUAUUUAUCUCCUAACAUACCCAGCCGAUCUUCAGAGCUCUGCGGGUUCAAGUGUGGUGACUCAUUUGUUACUUAAGGUAUUUUGGGUUUGUUACUUCUCAGCCACUUUACCAAGAACCACACUGAGCCAAAACAGAGAAGGGAGGAAAUGGGGGCGUGCAGAUGGGGGUGGGGGGUGGGGCAGAAAUCCAAAGCUGCUAUGGAAAAAUUCAGCUGAGGUGCUGUGGUCAAAGCCUGGACUCAGAACGAGGCCAUUCCAAAAGCAACAACGGGAAGGAAACAGUGCUUUGAUUAGAACUUCAUUGAGAGGCCUGAACACACACCCGGUAGUUCUCCCACAACAGAGAUGGUGUGGUCAGGAAUCCAAAAGAAUCGUCAUUGCUCUUUGGGAAUAUCUAUGAACAACCACACCCAAACUGUGUCCACUUGGCCAGUGCAAGGUGGAAGGGGGCAGCUGGGGGACAGCCAAACACCACCUGCAAAAUACAAUCGAAUCAUUUGCCCCAAGCCUCAGUCUCCCCCUCCCCAAUACCCAUGUGCCUUUGGCUCAAUCAUCUAGAUCUGCUUUGUGGACAAUAGCCGUGGGGAGUUGCUGGUGUCCUGAGUAGGCGAGGCUGAUGUGAACAAUGGAAAAAUCACGUGGGACAGGUCAGCCGGAAGAUCCAUGAAUGUAUAUGUUGAGAGACUUCCAGAAAGUCGUUGUUUAGAAAUUAAUUGUCUCCCUGGCCUCAGCCCAUGCCGUACACAACGCUUCUGCCUGGACUGUAAGUCACUCGUGUUCUAGUCCCCGCAGCUUCAGUAAGACUAUUGAAUUGCUGUUUGCAACAUUUGCCAUCCGUUUCUGGUUUGGGGCUUGCAAGAGGAGCCUGCUGAGUGUUCUCAUUCCUUUUUAAUUAUUCAUUUUUGACUUUGACAAAUAUUGCCUAAAUGCUUAAUGUUGGAGGCAGGCCUUGAGGUCCAGAGCUGGGGCAUGAGAUAGAGCCCAAGCUUCCGAACUCCAGCUGGGAGGAAGAAGCUGAUGAGCAGAGGGAGAGGACAGCUUCAUGGAUUUCAUGACAAAUCUCAUGAUUGUUCAGUCUGGGCUGUCGAGUCUUUCUUAUGCAACAACGGUACGUUGUACCACAGCUGCUACGUGCAAACCAUCUUCCUGGAAACAGUGAGAAGUACAAAGAAGCUAUGUGAUAGAAGUGCUGUAUCAGGACAACAGAGAAAGACGGAAGGAUGCUGAUCUCCGAUGGCAUCGUGAAGCCAUCUUGUUUCAGCCCAGACGACAGCAAAUCAGUAUCAUAUAGAUCACAUCCUCUGAACUACAAGAAAACUUACUUUAAAAGUUACUCUUUA